rnacentral:rRNA from 1 species
CCAAGGAGUCUAACAUGUGCGCGAGUCAUUGGGUUUCAAACUAAACCUAAAGGCGCAAUGAAAGUGAAGGUCGUACCUUGCGUCGACCGAGGGAAGAUGGCUCGCGUUACGAUGCGAGCCCGCACUCCCGGGGCGUCUCGUGCUCAUUGCGAGCAGAGGCGCACCCAGAGCGUACACGUUGGGACCCGAAAGAUGGUGAACUAUGCCUGGUCAGGACGAAGUCAGGGGAAACCCUGAUGGAGGUCCGUAGCGAUUCUGACGUGCAAAUCGAUCGUCGGAACUGGGUAUAGGGGCGAAAGACUAAUCGAACCAUC